rnacentral:misc_RNA from 1 species
UUUCCGUAGGUGAACCUGCGGAAGGAUCAUUAACGAGUUAGGGUCCUCCGGGGCCCGACCUCCAACCCUUUUGUGAACCACCUCGUUGCUUCGGGGGCGACCCUGCCGUUCGCGGCGUGGGGCCCCCGGAGCCCUUCAAACCCUGCGUAACUGAGUCGUCGGAGUUUAAACAAAUUAAACAAAACUUUCAACAACGGAUCUCUUGGUUCGGGCAUCGAUGAAGAACGCAGC